rnacentral:rRNA from 1 species
GACGAACGCUGGCGGCAUGCCUAACACAUGCAAGUCUAGGGGUAGCGCGGGGGCAACCCUGGCGGCGAGCGGCGAACGGGUGAGUAAUGCAUCGGAACGUACCCUGGAGUGGGGGAUAACGGCCGCGAAAGCGGCGCUAAUACCGCAUAUGCUCUGAGGAGGAAAGUGGGGGACCGCAAGGCCUCACGCUCUGGGAGCGGCCGAUGUCCGAUUAGCUAGUUGGUGAGGUAAAGGCUUACCAAGGCGACGAUCGGUAGCUGGUCUGAGAGGAUGAUCAGCCACACUGGGACUGAGACACGGCCCAGACUCCUACGGGAGGCAGCAGUGGGGAAUUUUGGACAAUGGGGGCAACCCUGAUCCAGCCAUGCCGCGUGAGUGAAGAAGGCCUGGUGUAAG